UUAUGAUGAGAUUAAGAGGAGGAUUAAAGUGUCACCCUCAUGGAAGAAUCUAGGUCAUCCACCAAAAAAGUUAGUUAUUAAUCAUAACUGUUCAUUAGAUGAGUUUAAUUUUCUAGAGGUUUAAAGCCUCUUGCCUCUUUUGGAGGACACUUUUUGACUCUCUCUCUAAUAGCGGUUAGCCAAAGGAAAAAAGAAGGAAAACAAGGCCCG
rnacentral:lncRNA from 1 species